GUCAAGUUUCUCCUAGUUUCCUGUGCUUUGAAACAGUCGAAGAACGUCGAAGAAAGCUCUACCUAGUAUUACAGGGCCGCGCUGACUUCGUGAUGUCUACAUUCGCUGUCGCUCUGACACGUAGACUGUUGGACUCGGGGAAUCAAAUUUUAAAAAUGAGAUAACUUGUUUGCAGGAUCCAGACUGCGUUUUCACCGUGUACAUUUAAGAGGGGAAGGGAAUAUUAGUAGUCUAGUGUGGUAGAACUAACUCUCUUUGAAUAAUAGGCGUUAGGGAGGGUUCGUGAGUAUGGCCGGUGAAACUCGUUCCUCCAGCGAUUUUAUGCAUAGAAUGUCGGUGCACCGUUACUCACAGAAUGUUACAGUUACCUUCGUAGAGAACACAACGGUUAUUCAGUCCAGAAGAUUCGCUGUUUGUUUUGCUUCUACUGGGAGUGAGAAAAUUGGUUUGAUUAAGAAAUACUUGACCAUGUCCUUGUUUUUUUCUCGUCGCAUUUUUUUUAAAGGGUUCUGUACAUGUGUAUUAUGAGCGGGUUGAAAGGUAGAAGUUGGAUCAGUUUUUAAACGUGACUGAUACCUGUGUUCCAUCAGUCUUCCUACAAAUCAUCUGGUUCUAAUUUUACGUUUUAAGGAGAACUUGGAAUGCGAAGACGAAAGAACUAAUUUUCAGUGGGCAAAUUUUUAGACUCACAACUUGGUUGCUGUCCAACAACAUUCGAAGUAAAAAAUUUUCUUCAGCAACGUUUUGUUAUUAUCGCACACAUAGCUCCAAGUCCAGAGUAAAUGUGGGUCGAAAAGCCAAAAUGACAAAUUGUAAGCGUUUUUAAGGAUUUUUAGUCUUUUCUCAGUGUUCAUUCAGAAGAAGGAAUUUGCAGUUUGAAGCUUACAGAUUGAUCGUCGGUGUUUCUUCUUACUUCAAAUGGAAAUCUGUUUACUCCUGGUUGGUCAUCUUGAACGGAAGGAUCAAUAAAUCGGUAGCUCACCAAAUUUUUAUCUCGCAUGUCUUGCACGCCUCCCUUGCAUUAAAGAAAAGAAGAAGAAGAGGAAAGAAAAAGCCCAGUGCCUCGAACGCCCGUUGGCCUGGAACUCUGAAGGAUGUGAUUUAAAGCAUGUUUCAGAGUCCAGUUUGAUGGAAGAUGUUUUUGCAAAGUUCAUUGCGUGACACUGUUUAAAGGCUUCGCGAACUGUUACACAACACGUCACUCUAUUUUGGACGUGUGACUUUUGUGUUUCUGCUGUCAUUUUUUCCCCCGAUCUUUAAAAUCUGUAUAAACUGUUUUCGAUAACACCAUGGGCAUUGCAUUUUGUCAUCAGUCAUUAACGAAGUUUUGCCUCCUUGUCAAAUGAAUGCGACAAACUUUAAACUUUGGAUUUUACUGUAAAUGUCUUAUUUCUCGUUGUAUUUUGAUUGAUUGUGACUAGGCAGAGAUGUGGGAUGUUUUUUUUUGGAUGGAACAGAACUCUUCUCAGCGUUUUGUGAAAAUCAGAGGGGAUUGUUUGUUUGAGGAUUUUUUAGCUCUAAUAUCUGCUUGUAACAAUGGUAUAUUCCGAUUUACGACAAAUGUAACUGAAAUACGAGCUGUUGAAAUAUUUAAUAAUCA